rnacentral:rRNA from 1 species
GACGAACGCUGGCGGCGUGCUUAACACAUGCAAGUCGAACGGUGAAGCGCCUUCCUUUUUGGUGGGUGUGGAUGAGUGGCGAACGGGUGAGUAACACGUGAGUAACCUGCCCCCUUCUUCUGGAUAACCGCAUGAAAGUGUGGCUAAUACGGGAUAUUCUGGGUCUGUCGCAUGAUGGGUCUGGGAAAGAUCUUGUUUCGGCGGGUGAUGGGCUCGCGGCCUAUCAGCUUGUUGGUGGGGUGAUGGCCUACCAAGGCGGUGACGGGUAGCCGGCCUGAGAGGGUGGACGGAAGCGCUGGUACUGAGACGCGGGCCGGACGCCGACGGGAGGCAGCGGUGGGGAUUAGUGGACAAUGGGCGGAAGGCUGAUGCAGCGCCGCCGCGUGUGGGAUGUAGGCCUUCGGGUUGUGAACCUCUUUCGCCAGUGAAGCAGGACUGCCUCGUUUGUGGGUGGGUUGACGGUAGCUGGAUAAGAAGCGCCGGCUAACUACGUG